rnacentral:rRNA from 1 species
GACGAACGCUGGCGGCGUGCUUAACACAUGCAAGUCGAACGGAGCGCCUAUGACAGAGACUUCGGUCAAUGGAUUAGGUUGCUUAGUGGCGGACUGGUGAGUAACGCGUGAGGAACCUGCCUUUCAGAGGGGGACAACAGUUGGAAACGACUGCUAAUACCGCAUGAUACAUUUGGGCGGCAUCGCUUGGAUGUCAAAGAUUUUAUCGCUGAAAGAUGGCCUCGCGUCUGAUUAGAUAGUUGGCGGGGUAACGGCCCACCAAGUCGACGAUCAGUAGCCGGACUGAGAGGUUGACCGGCCACAUUGGGACUGAGAUACGGCCCAGACUCCUACGGGAGGCAGCAGUGGGGAAUAUUGGGCAAUGGACGCAAGUCUGACCCAGCAACGCCGCGUGAAGGAAGAAGGCUUUCGGGUUGUAAACUUCUUUUAAGUAGGGAACAGAAGAAGAGGGUACCUCUUGAAUAAGCCACGGCUAACUACGUGCCAGCAG